UUAUAGUGUGCUUUAUUUCUAUUAUUAUUGCACUGUAAUAUAAAAUGAAAUAAUUAUACAACUCACCAUAAUGUAGAAUCAAUGGGAACCCUGAGCUCUUUUCCCUGCCACCCUCCACGCGCCGGGGAAGUGGAGCACGAACGCACUGUUAGGACCCCAAAGAUGGUGAACUAUGCCUAGGCAGGAUGAAGCCAGAGGAAACUGGUGGAGGUCCGUAGCCAUCCUGAUGUAGAAAUCGGUUGUCCGCCCUGGGUAUAGGGGUGAAAGACUAAUCGAACCAUCUAGUAGCUGG
rnacentral:ncRNA from 1 species